rnacentral:rRNA from 1 species
UACAGAGGGUGCGAGCGUUAAUCGGAAUUACUGGGCGUAAAGCGUGCGUAGACGGUAGCGUAAGUCAGAUGUGAAAGCCCCGGGCUCAACCUGGGAACUGCAUUUGAGACUGCUCUGCUCGGGUGCGGAAGAGGGAAGCGGAAUUUCCGGUGUAGCGGUGAAAUGCGUAGAUAUCGGAAGGAACACCAGUGGCGAAAGCACUCUGCUGGGCCGACACUGACACUGAGAGACGAAAGCUAGGGGAGCGAAUGGG